GUCGCUGUGGUGGAAUUGGCAGACACAAGGGACUUAAAAUCCCUCGCCGAAAGGCAUACGGGUUCGACCCCCGUCAGCGGCACCA
rnacentral:tRNA from 1 species